rnacentral:lncRNA from 1 species
GAUUUCCUCUUUUCUUCUUCUCCAUACGCGCAUCAAUUUCUCCUUCUUGAACCACCAUUACUCCACUGUCUGACAUCGUUUUACCACACCACCACCACCACUGAACUACUCUCAUCUUCCCCAUAAUGUCUGCAACAAAACCCCUAAAUUUAUUUUGGGAUCGAAAAACUUUCACCGACGAUCACCGCGUCGGAAACUAGUGCGACCUCGCCGGCGACCACUACUUAAUUUCUGCAAAAACUUAUGAACCAUGGAAAAACAACACAGUGUUGCAACAGCGCCGGAAAUCAUCUACGCAACACAACACAAUGCUGUAGAAAUUGUUAGGGGAUGUUCAAUGAGACAAUCACUUAAAUUGUCAGGGGAGUAG